rnacentral:rRNA from 1 species
AGCGCAGACGGUUUAUUAAGUCUGAUGUGAAAGGCAUGGGUUCAACCUGUGGACUGCAUUGGAAACUGUCAUACUUGAGUGCCGGAGGGGUAAGCGGAAUUCCUAGUGUAGCGGUGAAAUGCGCAGAUAUUAGGAGGAACACCAGUGGCGAAGGCGGCUUACUGGACGGUAACUGACGUUGAGGCUCGAAAGCGUGGGGAGCAAACA